GAGAUGUUCCUAAAACGGGUACCCCUCCUAAAACGGGUAGGCCUUGCCAUUCGAAUAUUAUAGAUCUUAGUGUGAACCUGUGAGUGUAGAGUGGCGCACUACCCCCCUGCCGAUCACGGUCUGUCGGCUCGCGCACCUGGAGCGAGCGUGUUCGAGAAAAACUUUAAAUGCUUCGUGGGAUGUGGAAGUUAUGAAACUGGACCGCAACCUCUUGACGAAGCUAUAAGUCCACCUCAUACUCCAACACCAGUAGGCCAGUAUAUUGAAGAACUUCCAAAACCAUGCAAGACUAUAACGGCAGAAACACAAAUUCUUAAGGAUUUUAUAACACCAUGCAAGACUCCAUCACAAACUACAAUCCUUCUUCAACCUGAGGAUCAUCAUGUAACACCAAUAAAAUAAGGGGCACUUCCUCAAUU